CAGACUUUCUUGUUUGCCUCAUCCCUACCAGUGUCUUUCUCCCUACACCUAAGGUCAAUUACCAGCUGCCCUUUAUCGUUGAACUUGAUGCUUUCUUCUCAUAGUAGAAUUAAGAGGAAAGUAAAAUAUUUUUUGUACCUAUAUCUUUAUUAUAUUUAGACAAAUCACAGAGUGAGAGAGUAGGGGUUUCAAGAAAAAUAGGAGAGAGAUAAAGGAGAGAGAAAGAACUGCUUGUGGAAAUACAGAAUAUCCCACAUUUUCAAUGUGGAAAGUGUAUGAGGGUAUGAAAGAAAAUACUCAGUUUUUUUUGUCCUGUAAGAGGCAGCAUUGACAAAUGUGUACCAGAGUUUGGGUACAUUUGAGCCAGUUCUUCAGAAUCGUGGGGUGGGAAAUAGAACAAAAUUAUUUACACCUAAUUCUAGGCAGAUAAGUGUGCUUCAAGGAAAGGCAAGGGCCUGGCUAGAUUCUAGAUGUUUUUAAACUGGAGGCCAGAGACAGCUUUAGGGAGUCCAUAUACAGGCACAAAUUUAUUUCUUUUAUAGUCUUCUUGCUCUUUGAAAAUGGUCUUUAUGCAAAUACUCACUAUAUAACCAAAGUUUCUCUUUGUUCCAGGCAGCAGUAGGGCUGAUUGGAGCCAUUGUACGUGUCGGGAACAUAUCAGAACACCGAGAAUAGCGUCAUGUCAUAAGGACUCAGAGCAGGUGGACCCUGCUGUGAUGCACAAAGAGGACCACGCAAGAUAUGAUAAAGAUCUAUGUCACUGAAUUUUGGUUCAAUUUUUGUAUCUCAGCUUCCCGGAAAUAAAAAAGAAUUCUAACAUUCAUACUUUCAGUAUUUUAUGUGAGAGGUUUUGUUGUCAAAAUCAAGUCUGAGAGCAAUGUUUAUUGGGGUCUUUAAUUGGAGUCACCA
rnacentral:lncRNA from 1 species